rnacentral:rRNA from 1 species
CCUACGGGAGGCAGCAGUGAGGAAUAUUGGUCAAUGGGCGCGAGCCUGAACCAGCCAAGUCGCGUGAGGGAAGACGGCCCUACGGGUUGUAAACCUCUUUUGCCGGGGAGCAACGGGCGCCACGUGUGGCGUCACUGCGAGUACCCGGAGAAAAAGCAUCGGCUAACUCCGUGCCAGCAGCCGCGGUAAUACGGAGGAUGCGAGCGUUAUCCGGAUUUAUUGGGUGUAAAGGGCGUGCAGCCGGAGCGACAAGUCAGAUGUGAAAUCCACGGGCUCAACCCGUGAACUGCAUUUGAAAUUGUUUCCCUUGAGUGUCGGAGAGGUAAUCGGAAUUCCUGGUGUAGCGGUGAAAUGCGUAGAGAUAAGGAAGAACACCAGUGGCGAAGGCGGAUUACUGGACGAUAACUGACGGUGAGGCGCGAAAGCGUGGGGAGCAAACAGGAUUAGAUACCCCGGUAGUC